rnacentral:rRNA from 1 species
UUUUAUUUGAGAGUUUGAUCCUGGCUCAGGAUGAACGCUGGCGGCGUGCCUAACACAUGCAAGUUGAGCGAUUUACUUCGGUAAAGAGCGGCGGACGGGUGAGUAACGCGUGGGUAACCUACCCUGUACACACGGAUAACAUACCGAAAGGUAUGCUAAUACGGGAUAAUAUAUUUGAGAGGCAUCUCUUAAAUAUCAAAGGUGAGCCAGUACAGGAUGGACCCGCGUCUGAUUAGCUAGUUGGUAAGGUAACGGCUUACCAAGGCGACGAUCAGUAGCCGACCUGAGAGGGUGAUCGGCCACAUUGGAACUGAGACAC